AGAAGGACACAGCCAGAACAGGAAGGGCUCAAAUGGAACCAGAAUCACAGAGAUGAAAACUUACUUCAGAAAACUGCCCAUGUGCGACUGGGAAUCCCCAGGUUCCGGACAGGGUGGUCUCCAUACACAGCGGGAGGAUGCCCUGGAUCUUCUGCCUCUGACCUCAAGCGCUGGGAUUGCCUCCAUUUAGCUGAGUACUGCAGCUCAUGAACUCCUGGGAAUUAACACCCAAGCUUCAUGAGGCUUUUCUGUGUGUCUGGCCGCCUGAGAACACAGCUGACUUGCAUGGUGACCUGACCAGAGCUCUGUCUUAGAUGGCUUCCAUAGUCAUGAUCAGUCAGAGAAGAGGAGACAGGCCCAGAG
rnacentral:lncRNA from 1 species